UACGGGGGGAGCAAGCGUUGUUCGGAUUUACUGGGCGUAAAGGGCGCGUAGGCGGUCGUGACAAGUCACUUGUGAAAUCUCCGGGCUUAACUCGGAACGGUCAAGUGAUACUGUCGGACUAGAGUACAGAAGGGGCAACUGGAAUUCUCGGUGUAGCGGUGAAAUGCGUAGAUAUCGAGAGGAACACCAGUGGCGAAGGCGAGUCUCUGGACAAAUCCUGACGCUGAGGCACGAAAGCUAGGGGAGCAAACAGG
rnacentral:rRNA from 1 species